rnacentral:rRNA from 1 species
GGUUUGAUUCUGGCUCAGAUUGAACGCUGGCGGAUGUUUACACAUGCAAGUCGAACGCGCACGGACUUCGUCUGGUGGCGAGUGGCGAACGGGUGAGUAAUGUAUCGAACGUGCCUAGUAGCGGGGAUAACUACGCCGAAAGCGUAGCCAAUACCGUAUACGCCCUUCGGGGGAAAGCGGGGGGACCUUCGGGCCUCGCACUAUUAGAGCGGCCGAUAUCGGAUUAGCUAGUUGGUGGGGUAACGGCUCAGCCACAAGUGACGAUCCGUAGCUGGUUUGAGAGGACGACCAGCCACCUGGGACUGAGACACGGCCCAGACUCCUACGGGAGGCAGCAGUGGGAAUUUUGGAUAUGGGAAACUUAUCCAGCCAUCCCGCGUGUGCGAUGAAGGCCUUCGGGUUGUAAAGCACUUUUGGCAGGAAGAAACGGCACGGGAUAAUACCCCGCGCAACUGACGGUACUCGCAGAAUAAGCACCGGCUAACUACGUGCCAGCAGCCGCGGUAAUACGUAGGGUGCAAGCGUUAAUCGGAAAUUAUCAAAGCGCAAAGCGUGCGCAGCGGUCUGGAAAGAAAGAUGGAAAUCCCAGAGCUUAACUUUUGGAACUGCAUUUUUAACUACCGAGCUAGAGUGUGUCAGAGAGGUGGAAUUCCGCGUGUAGCAGUGAAAUGCGUAGAUAUGCGGAGGAACACCGAUGGCGAAGGCAGCCUCCUGGGGAUAACACUGACGCUCAUGCACGAAAGUGUGGGGAUGUAAACAGGAUUAGAUACCCUGGUAGUCCACGCCCCAAAUGAUGUCAACUAGCUGUUGGGGCCUUCAGCUUCUGUAGCGCAGCUAACGCAGUUGACCGCCUGGGGAGUACGGUCGCAAGAUUAAACUCAAAGGAAUUGACGGGACCCGCACAAGCGGUGGAUGAUGUGGAUUAAUCUGAUAACGCGAAAACCUUACCUAAAUUUUGACAUGUCUGAAUCCCGAAGAGAUUUGGGAGUGCUCGCAAGAGAACCGAACACAGGUGCUGCACAGUCGUCAGCUCGUGUCGAGAUGUUGGGUUAAGUCCCAACGAGCGCAACCCUUGUCAUUAGUUGCUACGGUACGGCACUCUGACGAGACUGCCGGUGACAAACCGAGGAAGGUGGAUGACGUCAAGUCCAUGGCCCGGCGGGCAGGGCUUCACACGUCAUACAAUGGUCGGGCAGAGGGCCGCCAACCCGCGAGGGGAGCCAAUCCCAGAAACCCGAUCGUAGGGUCCGGAUCGCGCAGUCUGCAACCUGACUGCGUGAAGCCGGAAUCGCUAGUAAUCGCGGAUCAGCAUGUCGCAGAAUACGCCCCGGCUCACACACCGCCCGUCACAUCAUGGAGUGGGUUUUACCAGAAGUAGUUAGCCUAACUGCAAGGAGGGCGAUUACCACGGUAGGAUUCAUGACUGGGGUAAAGUCGUAUCAAGGUA